UUAAGUGAAUAAGGGCGCACGGUGGAUGCCUUGGCACUAGGAGCCGAUGAAGGACGGGACUAACACCGAUAUGCUUUGGGGAGCUGUACGUAAGCUAUGAUCCAGAGAUUUCCGAAUGGGGGAACCCAACAUCUUUAAUAGGAUGUUACGAUUGUGUGAAUACAUAGCACAUUCGAGGUAGACGCAGAGAACUGAAACAUCUAAGUACCUGCAGGAAGAGAAAGAAAAUUCGAUUCCCUGAGUAGCGGCGAGCGAAACGGGAAAAGCCCAAACCAGCAAGCUUGCUUGUUGGGGUUGUAGGACUCCAAUAUGGUAGUUCUUUCAGAUAGUCGAAUGACUUGGAAAAGUCAGUCAAAGAGGGUAAAAACCCCGUAGACGAAAUGUGGAAGACACCUAGGAGGAUCCUGAGUACGGCGGAACACGAGAAAUUCCGUCGGAAUCCGGGAGGACCAUCUCCCAAGGCUAAAUACUCCCUAGUGACCGAUAGUGAACCAGUACCGUGAGGGAAAGGUGAAAAGCACCCCGGAAGGGGAGUGAAAUAGAACCUGAAACCGUGUGCCUACAACAAGUCAAAGCCCGUUAAUGGGUGAUGGCGUGCCUUUUGUAGAAUGAACCGGCGAGUUACGAUUGCAUGCGAGGUUAAGUUGAAGAGACGGAGCCGCAGCGAAAGCGAGUCUGAAUAGGGCGUUUGAGUAUGUAGUCGUAGACCCGAAACCAUGUGAUCUACCCAUGUCCAGGUUGAAGGUGCGGUAAAACGCACUGGAGGACCGAACCCACGUACGUUGAAAAGUGCGGGGAUGAGGUGUGGGUAGCGGAGAAAUUCCAAACGAACUUGGAGAUAGCUGGUUCUCUCCGAAAUAGCUUUAGGGCUAGCCUCGGAAUUGAGAAUGAUGGAGGUAGAGCACUGUUUGGACUAGGGGCCCAUCUCGGGUUACCGAAUUCAGAUAAACUCCGAAUGCCAUUCAUUCAUAUCCGGGAGUCAGACUGUGAGUGAUAAGAUCCAUAGUCGAAAGGGAAACAGCCCAGACCACCAGCUAAGGUCCCAAAAUAUAUGUUAAGUGGAAAAGGAUGUGGGGUUGCACAGACAACUAGGAUGUUGGCUUAGAAGCAGCCACCAUUUAAAGAGUGCGUAAUAGCUCACUAGUCGAGUGACCCUGCGCCGAAAAUGUACCGGGGCUAAACAUAUUACCGAAGCUGUGGAGUACACCUUUAGGUGUAUUGGUAGGAGAGCGUUCUAAGGGCGUCGAAGGCAGAUCGUGAGGACUGCUGGAGCGCUUAGAAGUGAGAAUGCCGGUAUGAGUAGCGAAAGACAGGUGAGAAUCCUGUCCACCGAAUGACUAAGGUUUCCUGGGGAAGGCUCGUCCGCCCAGGGUUAGUCGGGACCUAAGCCGAGGCCGACAGGCGUAGGCGAUGGAUAACAGGUUGAUAUUCCUGUACCCGUUGUUUUUGUUUGAGCAAUGGAGGGACGCAGGAGGCUAAGGAAUGCAGACGAUCGGAAAUGUCUGUCCAAGCAGUAAGUCUGAAGAGGAGUCAAAUGCUUCUUUUCUUAAGGACAAGCUGUGAUGGGGAGGGAAAUAAUAGUACCGAAGUUCCUGAUGUCACACUGCCGAGAAAAGCUUCUAGUGAGAAAACAGCGGCCCGUACCGCAAACCGACACAGGUAGUCGAGGAGAGAAUCCUAAGGUGAGCGAGAGAACUCUCGUUAAGGAACUCGGCAAAAUGACCCCGUAACUUCGGGAGAAGGGGUGCUGAUCAUACGAUCAGCCGCAGUGAAUAGGCCCAAGCGACUGUUUAUCAAAAACACAGGUCUCUGCAAAAUCGUAAGAUGAAGUAUAGGGGCUGACGCCUGCCCGGUGCUGGAAGGUUAAGAGGAGUGCUUAGCGCAAGCGAAGGUACGAAUUGAAGCCCCAGUAAACGGCGGCCGUAACUAUAACGGUCCUAAGGUAGCGAAAUUCCUUGUCGGGUAAGUUCCGACCCGCACGAAAGGCGUAACGAUUUGGGCACUGUCUCAACGAGAGACUCGGUGAAAUUUUAGUACCUGUGAAGAUGCAGGUUACCCGCGACAGGACGGAAAGACCCCAUGGAGCUUUACUGUAGUUUGAUAUUGAGUGUCUGUACCGCAUGUACAGGAUAGGUAGGAGCCGUAGAAAUCGGAACGCUAGUUUCGAUGGAGGCGCUGGUGGGAUACUACCCCUGCGUUAUGGCCACUCUAACCCGCACCACUAAUCGUGGUGGGAGACAGUGUCAGAUGGGCAGUUUGACUGGGGCGGUCGCCUCCUAAAAGGUAACGGAGGCGCCCAAAGGUUCCCUCAGAAUGGUUGGAAAUCAUUCGAAGAGUGUAAAGGCAGAAGGGAGCUUGACUGCGAGACCAACAAGUCGAGCAGGGACGAAAGUCGGGCUUAGUGAUCCGGUGGUUCCGCAUGGAAGGGCCAUCGCUCAACGGAUAAAAGCUACCCUGGGGAUAACAGGCUUAUCUCCCCCAAGAGUCCACAUCGACGGGGAGGUUUGGCACCUCGAUGUCGGCUCGUCGCAUCCUGGGGCUGUAGUCGGUCCCAAGGGUUGGGCUGUUCGCCCAUUAAAGCUGCACGCGAGCUGGGUUCAGAACGUCGUGAGACAGUUCGGUCCCUAUCCGUCGCGGGCGUUGGAAAUUUGAGAGGAGCUGUCCUUAGUACGAGAGGACCGGGAUGGACUUACCGCUGGUGUACCAGUUGUUCUGCCAAGGGCAUUGCUGGGUAGCUAUGUAGGGAAGGGAUAAACGCUGAAAGCAUCUAAGUGUGAAGCCCACCUCAAGAUGAGAUUUCCCAUUUCUUUAAGAAAGUAAGAUCCCUGAGAGAUGAUCAGGUAGAUAGGUCAGGAGUGGAAGUACAGUGAUGUAUGGAGCGGACUGAUACUAAUCGAUCGAGGACUUAACCAA
rnacentral:rRNA from 1 species